UUUGAUUUGAGUUAAAUCAUGUGUAUAUUUAAAUAUUAAGUUCGAAAGCAUUUACAUAAAUUUACAUCAUGAAUUCAAAUGAUAGGACGUUUUGUAGUAAAAAUCAGGGCAUUUUUAGCGAUACCAAAAAACGCAGGUUUUGGCGCGUUUUGCCGAGUCCCCAAUGCCGCCAAAAACGAAAGCUCUCUUUGCUUCUAUUUGUCUUGUCCUCUGUGUCUGAAACAACAACAAAAAAAAAGCAAUGAAAAUUUUAGGAGAAGAUGAGCAGACGAUUAACACGAUAUGCGGAGCUUGUUCCGGAGACAAAUUCACAGAGUACGGUGGUUUCUAUUACUGUCAAGAAUGUGGUACUCAGGCCCAAGGCUUCAUCCUCGCCAACGUCACUGACGACGACUUGUACAACCUCUACAAUGUUCGAUUCAGCCGCCGGAUCUCCAGUUCUACUACUAAUGAGCCAGAUCCAUGUUCGCUAGCUUGGUAUCAAUUCAUACGGAAAGAGGAGGAGGAGGACGAGAAAGUUACUACUUCCAAUCCUCCUAGUCAGAUCUCCCACGAUGAUUACUCUAAUGAGGUUAGGUUUAGGUAUGUGAUUGGACUGCAAACUCUGAUUCAGUCUCAAUGUGAUGCUUUGAUUCAGAAAUUUGGUCUUAGUGAUUUGAUUCCUGGUAUUGCUUCUUGGAUUUGGCUGAGGUAUGUGGUUGUAUCUGGGGUUCUCAAAGAUGACUGGGCUAGUGAUGCUAUCUUGAAAUCUGAAUCUGAAUCUGAUUCUCAUAUGAAGAAUAAGAAGAAGCUUGUAGCAGAUCAAUCUGACGCCGACUGCGGCAGUACCAGUAGUAGUCAGAGAUAUUAUAAUGAACCACUUACUGCACAUGGAAAACGUGCUGUAUCUGUUUGGUUUCGAAGUUUAAAGAAAGCCAUACCGAUGGAUCAUACUUUGGCUAUAUGCUAUUUGGCUUGCCAUAUUGCCAAAGAAGCGGUUCUACCAACGGAUUUAGCAAAGUGGUCAAUAGAAGGAACAAUUCCUUACUUCAAUGUCCAUUUGGAAAUCGAAAGCAAGUUGGGAGCUCCUUCGUUCGCUUGUCCUAUAAGUUCGGCGUCCAUGUUUAGGACAACUCGCCCGAUUCCAUUCGACAAGUUGGAAGGAAUGGCUGCCCCAAUUGCAGAGUCGUGUUGCGCUUGUCCUAUUAGUUCGGCUUUCAUGUUUAGGAGAACUCGCCGGAUUCCAUUCGACAAGUUGGAAGGAAUGGCUGCCACAAUUGCAGAGUCGUUAGGUUUGUCUCUAACUCCAAUAAAUUUUUAUGCAAUAGCAUGUCGAUACCUAAAUCAACUCUCUAUUCCGAGCGAAAAAGGAGUUUAGGGAAGAAGUCUGAGAUUGAUAGUGAUUGAGGCGCUCUCACAGAGGUUGGAAGCAGGGUAUAGCAUGGUUGGAGAAUCAUGGGAGUUUGGGAAAGACUUGACAUCUUAUCUCAACUACUGUACGGAUGUGGUCUUUGAAAAAGGAACAAAUAGAUCAUCAAGCCUUGAAGACGAGUUUAUAGAGAAGUUGUGGGACUAUUAUAUUGAGAAUGCUGCAAAUGAUGAUGAUGAUGAUGAUGAUGAUGGUAAUCAAGAGGCGGAUGUAGAGAGGAGUAGUAUACAUAGUAGAAGCAAUGUUUGUUCAAGGAAUGAAGAAGCUGCCCUGAUCAGAAAACUAAAGUUAGAUAUGAAGGAGAAAGAGUUCGGCUACCUUGUACCGAGGGUUAACAUCAAGAAUACAACGGAAUACCUGCACUACAGUAGAAGGAAGGACGAAACAACCGGGAGAUUGAGGUACGUUGCUCAUGCAGAUUACUAUAUUGUACUCCGUUCUUGCUGCCAAAGUUGCUCAGGUUGACUGUCAAAUGAUGCAUUUGGGGGGUUUGGCUUUAGAGAGGAGAUUGGACUCCUUAGAGAAGAGGAUCCAUUCAUUACUACAUCCAUCAUGAAUGAUCAUGUAGAUAUGCAGCCAGCCGGAAGCAUCUUUAUAUUUAGUUAUUAGUUAGUUGUUUUGUCAAUUUCUCUUCUCUUGCCUGCUAGCUGAAAGUAUCUAUCUAUCUAUCUUCUUAUAUUUAGUUAUUAUUAGCCAGCUGACUGUAAUCUAUCAACAAACUGUCAGUCAGGCAAUUUAUUAUUAUGUUAUUAUAAAGCAUUAGGGAGGGAAUCAUAAUCAAAGUAAGUAAGAUGGUUCUGUUUUUGUUUUUGUUUUUGUUUU
rnacentral:lncRNA from 1 species